rnacentral:lncRNA from 1 species
GAGUUGAAAAUUCAAUAUUGGAGGAACACAAAAGAUCAAAGAUUCAAUAUAGUGUGCUGAGCUCACUACCUAUAGGCUUAUACUUUUAGAUGGGAUUAGUAUGUCUCAGAGAAGUGUGAUACUAUUUAUGGCAUGUUAAUUGAAAGUGUGAUACUAUUUAUGGCAUGUUAAUUGAAUUUGUGGGCCACUGUUAAAAGUAAAAGUUAGGUUUAUUUAGGAAAUCAUGUUUAUCUUGAC